CCUACGGGAGGCAGCAGUGGGGAAUAUUGGACAAUGGGGGGAACCUUGAUCCAGCGACGCCGCGUGAGUGAUGAAGUACUUCGGUUUGUAAAGCUCUAUUAGCAGGGAAGAAAAUGACGGUACCUGACUAAGAAGCCCCGGCUAAAUACGUGCCAGCAGCCGCGGGAAUACUUAGGGGGGAAGCGUUAUCCGGAUUUACUGGGGGGAACGGGAGCGUAGACGGUGCAGCAAGGCUGAGGUGAAAGUUAGGGGUCCAAACCCGGGUCUGCAUUGGAAACUGUUGAACUGGAGUACAGGAGAGGUAAGCGGAAUUCCAAGUGUAGCGGUGAAAUGCGUAGAUAUAAGGAGGAACACCAGUGGCGAAGGCGGCUUACUGGACUGUAACUGACGUUGAGGCUCGAAAGCGUGGGGAGCAAACAGGAUUAGAUACCCUUGUAGUC
rnacentral:rRNA from 1 species